CGUAGGGUGCAAGCGUUAAUCGGAAUUACUGGGCGUAAAGCGUGCGCAGGCGGUUGUGCAAGACAGAUGUGAAAUCCCCGGGCUUAACCUGGGAACUGCAUUUGUGACUGCACGGCUAGAGUGUGUCAGAGGGGGGUAGAAUUCCACGUGUAGCAGUGAAAUGCGUAGAUAUGUGGAGGAAUACCGAUGGCGAAGGCAGCCUCCUGGGAUAACACUGACGCUCAUGCACGAAAGCGUGGGGAGCAAACAGGAUUAGAUACCCUGGUAGUCCACGCCCUAAACGAUGUCAACUAGUUGUCGGGUCUUAAUUGACUUGGUAACGCAGCUAACGCGUGAAGUUGACCGCCUGGGGAGUACGGUCGCAAGAUUA
rnacentral:rRNA from 1 species